ACGAACGCUGGCGGCAGGCCUAACACAUGCAAGUCGAACGCCGUAGCAAUACGGAGUGGCAGACGGGUGAGUAACGCGUGGGAACCUAUCCAGUGGUACGGAAUAACCCGGGGAAACUCGGGCUAAUACCGUAUACGCCCCGAGGGGGAAAGAUUUAUCGCCAUUGGAGGGGCCCGCGUCGGAUUAGCUAGUUGGUGAGGUAACGGCUCACCAAGGCUACGAUCCGUAGCUGGUCUGAGAGGACGACCAGCCACACUGGGACUGAGACACGGCCCAGACUCCUACGGGAGGCAGCAGUGGGGAAUCUUGGACAAUGGGCGCAAGCCUGAUCCAGCCAUGCCGCGUGAGUGACGAAGGCCUUAGGGUUGUAAAGCUCUUUCGGCGGGGAAGAUAAUGACGGUACCCGCAGAAGAAGCCCCGGCUAACUUCGU
rnacentral:rRNA from 1 species